UUCUUAUCUAAACUCUCAUAUUUCUCUUUCUUACUUACAGCAGAUGGUUAGUUUCUCAAUCUCUCCCGGCUAAUCGUUCACUUCUACGACAAAUGGAAUUACUUGUUUCUUUUCUAUAGUCAAUAGAUGUGAUUUUGAAAUACCAAAAUUGUUCCUUGUUUCUUUUAGGUGGUUCUAGUUUAGCUAACGGAUAUGUUUGGAAUUCGGAAGAUUGAUAAUGCUAAAAAGAUUCAGUUUGCAAACAUCUUUUGUGUCAGUAGCAAUUGGGACUGCCGUUUGUUCAGUUUGCUCUUUGUUCAACGUUUUGUUUCUUGUUUUAAUUUUCAAAUUAGUGUUGUCUGGAGCUUUGUAAAUGAAUGGCAAGGAGUAAGGGGUGUUUUUUAGUGCUGUCUGGAACUAGACAUAACUGGUUCACUUGUUCUAGACAUUGAAAGUUUCCAUUCUCUUUAUUGUCAGAUGAAUGGUGAUACCAAAACAGGGACUGUACUAAAAUAUAAACUGAAAUGAUAAUGCACAACAAUAUGUUUGGGAA